CAUGCAAGUCGAGCGGUAGAGAGAAGCUUGCUUCUCUUGAGAGCGGCGGACGGGUGAGUAAUGCCUAGGAAUCUGCCUGGUAGUGGGGGAUAACGCUCGGAAACGGACGCUAAUACCGCAUACGUCCUACGGGAGAAAGCAGGGGACCUUCGGGCCUUGCGCUAUCAGAUGAGCCUAGGUCGGAUUAGCUAGUUGGUGGGGUAAUGGCUCACCAAGGCGACGAUCCGUAACUGGUCUGAGAGGAUGAUCAGUCACACUGGAACUGAGACACGGUCCAGACUCCUACGGGAGGCAGCAGUGGGGAAUAUUGGACAAUGGGCGAAAGCCUGAUCCAGCCAUGCCGCGUGUGUGAAGAAGGUCUUCGGAUUGUAAAGCACUUUAAGUUGGGAGGAAGGGCAGUAACCUAAUACGUUGCUGUCUUGACGUUACCGACAGAAUAAGCACCGGCUAACUCUGUGCCAGCAGCCGCGGUAAUACAGAGGGUGCAAGCGUUAAUCGGAAUUACUGGCGGUAAAGCGCGCGUAGGUGGUUUGUAAAGUUGGAUGUGAAAUCCCCGGGCUCAACCUGGGAACUGCAUUCAAAACUGACAAGCUAGAGUAUGGUAGAGGGUGGUGGAAUUUCCUGU
rnacentral:rRNA from 1 species